GAUGAAGAACGUAGUGAAAUGCGAUACGUAAUGUGAAUUGCAAAUUCAGUGAAUCAUCGAGUCUUUGAACGCACAUUGCGCCCCCUGGUAUUCCGGGGGGCAUGCCUGUUCGAGCGUCAUUACAACCCUCAAGCUCUGCUUGGUAUUGGGCCCCGCCAGUUCUGGCGGGCCCUAAAGUCAGUGGCGGUGCCUUCCGGCUCCGAGCGUAGUAAUUCUUCUCGCUCUGGAGACCCGGUUGUGUGCUUGCCAACAACCCCCAAUUUUUUAAGGUUGACCUCGGAUCAGGUAGGGAUACCCGCUGAACUUAAGCAUAUCAAUAAGCGGAGGA
rnacentral:misc_RNA from 1 species